AUAUCCAGUCAAAAUGAUCGUCACACGCUUGGUUAUCAUAUUAGUUAUUAUCGGAUGUCUUUAUACUCCAAGUCAUGGUAAGCAUUUCUUUACUAAUUGUUGUUGAGCUCUUUAUUAUUUAAUUAAAUUUAAGUCGAAUGUGUUCUUUCAAUCAAAGAAAAAACUAUAAUUUACAAGUAGAUCAAUGAUUUUACUUUACUGUCUAAUCUAUUUUAUUAAAAAAAAUAAAGAAAUAUUUUUUGUCUACUAAUAUGGUUUUACUUCUUUGUUGUCCCAAAAUUAAAGGUCGUGAUAUCGAAAGACGAGAAGAGGAAAACAAAAUAGUAAUAAUUCCUUGUGUUAAAGGGCCAUGCCCUGAUUGGGAUGUUUGCUACUGUUGUGAAGCUGAUCAACUGUGCUGGCAAUCAUGGGAGAUUUGCAGAUCACAUUGCCCUACAUGUGAUCCCCAUUGUCAUCCCCCAGCAGUCUACGAUCCAUAAUCACCGGCUCCUAUGGCUGUAUAACCUCGAGUUGUUGGAAUAAAAAUCUCAUCUCAUGUUUUUCUUUUUUCUCUACUAAUUUUGUAUUGUUUGUUUGGUUUUUUUAUUCCAUAAAUUAUCGGAUCUUACAUUGCUAGUAUAAUAAGCACUUAUUUAAGCUCACACAAUAAACACCCUCUUUAAACGUGCGCUAUGAAACAUGUAGACUCAAACUAUGAUAACAUAAUCGAUAGAGCAACUCAAGAUUUAUACCACAUAUCAACGUCUCAAUUUUAUCAUAAAGACAAUGCUACUAGAUCUUAAGGAUCAUAGUGGUUUUUCAGUUUAAUGAAAGGAAUGCCCAAACCAAAAUUACAUUUAUAUUACUUUAAAGAACAAAAACUACUUAUCCUAUGCUCGUUAGCCCACAAAACUAACUUUAGCUUUGCGGAAUAAUCCCCUCUCCAAAGAUUGUCAAAAUACUUUUUUACUUAUAUAUAUACACACGUAUACAUACAUAUAUACAUAUACAUAAAUAUAUACAUAUAUAUAUAUAUUUUUUUUUCUUUCUCACUUUAAACUCAUUCAAAUCCAUUCAUAAGUUUAUUAUUCAUUAGAAAUUCAUAAAUCUUAACUAUAAGAUUAAGGACCGGUUGUAAUACCUUAAAAGUGAUCCUAAUAGAAUUUAGGUUCGACGAUUCAUUGAUCCUGUAUCAUCUCUCAAAUAGAAAUUUUGAUAGAAGAAAACAAUAUCACUAGAAAUAAAUGUAAAAUCAAAAGAAAAAUAACCUCUAUUACUCGUAAGGUUAAAGUGUCAACUGCGAGGGCUAAACAAUGGAAUAAAACACAAUAAAAGAUUUAGAAUAAAAAUGUUAAAACACAAGUUAUCUUUGGACAGCAGUUGGGUACUCUCGGUUGAGGAUCACUGUUGAUUUCAAUCUCCUCCUUCGAUACUAUUGUUGGAUCUUCCUCCUACGGCUUGGAUAGCAAGUAAUAUGAUUUUAGGACUACUUAUAGUUGGUGGAUGAAGUUUGAAUAAAGGAUUUUGGAUACUAAAACUCAAGGAAGAAGGGGCUAUGGCUUGAAAAUUAGGAUCAAUUAGGGCUUCUUCUUAGUUGUCUUUAGGAUAUUAUUUCUUCUUCUACUUCUAUUUUUUCAUACUACUAUCAAUGAGCUCUUUAGAAUCUAUACUAUCCAACAAUUUAAUUUAACAAAUGAAAAAGGGUAAGAUUGAUAAUAACUCAAAAAAAUCUCUAUAAUAAGAUGGUCAUACAAGGGAAAAAGGGUUGCUAAACUUAUAAGCUCCUUCUAUUAGAGCUUAGAUUUUGAUAAUGAAAUCAAUUGAUGAAUUUAAUGAACUAUGUGUUUUUGAGAUAAAUGAUGUAGAAAAUACUUUGAUCAUAGACUCAAACUAUAGAUGGGUUAAAUGUCGAGUAAAAGAGUUAGACGUUGUGUCGAAAGAUUUUCGUAUCGAAAAUUAGACAUCGAGCUAGAGGAUUGAUCAAUAUGUCUUAUGGACUUCAUGCUAGAGAUUCGAACAUCAUAUCAAAAGGAUUAGAUAUCGCAUUAAAAAAUUAGAUGCCACGGUGAAAUCGAUUGGCUGGAAGAUUGAGUAAUAUACAAAAGUAUAGUGUGAUGUGUUGGAGUUUCGAACACACGAUAAGAGAUCAUGAUAUUAUGAUAAAUGAGGAAGACCUAGUUGUGCUUUCCUUUCCAUUCCUUUUUUUUUUAAUGUUCAGAAAACCCAAAUGUAACCCUAUUUUGAGUUGCCUGAAUCUAAAGAAUAUCUAAUUAUAUGGAACGAUUACUUUGGAGAUGAGGAAGUUCGUUCUUAGGCAUACCGAGGUGCUAUAACAUAUCUCAUCUCCCAUGCAGAGGUGUCUAUACGUCAAUAUAUGGCAGAUACUGUAGAUCAUCUCCUCGUCGGAGGUGCAACAUCAUUGAAGAGAAGGCCAUACAUAUUGAGAUCCCCGCUUCCUUCUAAUAGGAUCCAGCUAUGCCGCCACGUCAUACUGGAUGUACUUGACAAGGCACAUCCAGAUAUGCCCGCCACGUCAAGGAACAAAUCAGUGCACCCAGUUGUCGUAUGAUGUCCGUAAAGACAAUAGUUUUGGAAGAUGGGUUGGACUCAGGUUGGGUUCCAGGACAAGGUAUCGCACAUCAUCCAAACCAUACAUACCAUACAAAAAAUAUACCAUUAGAUGUCGGAUUGAUUAUUAGGUUUUGUCUUUAAUAAGGGAUAAUUUGGUCGGUCGGCCAUUGGUAUGACCCGUAGGCUCGUGAGAAAUUGUCCGCUUUGGAUGAUGAGCGUACCCGCACGAUUUUAUUCUUUUCGGAGCAUAUGAGCUCGAAAAGGCACCUCUAAGGAUAAAGGAGUACUCCCUCCCGUAGGGGAGCCAAGGUGCAGGCCUCGGACCUUCCUUCUAGCGCCAAUUUGAUCAAGGAUAAUUUGGUCGAUCGACCAUUGGUGUAGCCCAUAGGCUCGCGAGGAAUUAUCCGCUUUGGACGAUGGGCGUACCCAUACGAUUUUAUCCUUUUCGAAGCAUGCGAGUUCGAAAAGGCACAUCUGAGGGUAAGGGAGACCUGACGGACUUAUGAAUCCUUGGUACUCAUACUCCUCGACCAAUGUGAGACUAAAUGACCUUACGAGUCUUCAAUUGGAUAAAUCCAUCUAACACAUGGCAGUUCAAAUGCAUUAUGCGGAUCCACAUCUUGCACGCUCAAACGUGUUGUCCCCCGAUAUCUCAAUGAACCAAAGCUUUUAUACAAAUCGGCAAGCCCUUUCUCAAGUAUAUCUACGUGAUGUCAAUCAACAAAGCUAAUGUGUUUGUUCACUGUAAUGUCAAACUGUACUGAAACUUUCUUACUAGUGUUUUCUUUCUCGUUGGUGUUGUGGUGUGGGUGCCGACCAAAGGAAAUAGGCAUGGGUUACCGCACCGUCAGGAUGAGGAUGUUGCAACUUGACUUGGGUUGCGCUCCACUGCAGUCCCGAAACAUGGUUCGAUGAAUGACUUAAUAUGGUAAACUAGUAUGAUGGACUUAUAGGUUAUGGGGGAUGGAACUCAUUGUGAUCUCCCUUUUUAACUAUAUCUUUUUCACGUUCAAAAUGGAUGUAUCUAAUAUUAUUUUAGUUUCACUAAAUCGCUAGCUUAAUACAUACUAUAUAUAUGAACGUUUGAACAUUCUAUAUAAAGGCUCAAUUGGACUCUUAAAAUAUAUUAUAUCCGGUCAAAAUGAUCGUCACACGCUUUGUUAUCAUAUUAGUUAUCAUCGGAUGUCUUUAUACUCUAAGUCAUGGUAAGUAUUUCUGUGCUAACUGUUGUUGGGCUCUCUAUUAUUAAUUAAAUUCAAAUUGAACGUGUUCUUUCAAUCAAAGAAAAAACUAUAAUUUACAAGUAGAUCAAUGACUUUAUUUUACUGUCUAAUCUAUUUUAUAAAAGACUUUAUUUUACUGUCUAAUCUAUUUUAUAAAAAAACAAAGAAAUAUUUUUUGUCUACUAAUCUGGUUUUACUUCAUUGUUGUCCCAAAAUUUAAGGUCGUGAUAUCGAAAGACGGGAAGAGGAAAACAAAAUAGUAAUAAUUCCUUGUGUUAAAGGGUCAUGCGCAGAUUGGGAUGUUUGCUACUGUUGUGCAGCUGAUCGAUUUUGCUGGCAAUCAUGGGAGAUUUGCAGAUCACAUUGCCCUACAUGUGAUCCCCAUUGUCAUCCCCCAGCAUUCUAUGAUCCAUAAUCACCGGCUCCUAUAGCUGUAUAACCUCAUGUUGUUGGAAUAAAAAUCUCAUCUCAUGUUUCCCUAUUGUCAUCCCUUAGCAUUCUACAACUCAUAAUCA
rnacentral:lncRNA from 1 species